CAUGCUUAAAUGAUGAAUUCAUAGUUCAGCUGAGUACCUUGAUGUAUAUAGCAUAUUGUCUUUCGCUCCUAUCUGAUAUUUUUA